GAAGUUCAAUUUCUUAAUUUUGAGCCUAAAGAUGAAGAAGCUUAAUUUCUUGAUUUUCUUUAUUUUUUAGGCUAAUUUGGGUUUGAAUUGAAAAUUUUGUGCUAAUUUGGGCAAAAAGUUAAAAAUGUGCUCAAUUGAAUUUCCCCAAUAAGUGGAGGGGGUGAUAUUAAGCUUUAAGCCUUUUUUUUAUUCUGCUGUAGAUAUUUAUUCUUACUUUCUGCAGUAUUAUCUGAAAUUUUAGUCACAACUGGCAAUGAAUUUAUUCUGAAAAGUGCUGAAGCCUGUUGCUAUCUACUUAUCAAGAAGUUGUUCUGCACUUCCUCUCUCUCUACAGAUUCCCUCCAGUUUUUGGAACUUUUAGGGCAAAUUUGUUAUUGCAGAUUGUUUAUGAACUAGUUCUAUUACUCAUUUGGGAACAUAGAGGUGAAUGGAUCUUCAAUAAUAUAUCCUCCUAGAGUUUUGUGGAUCUUAUUUUGCCUGAAGUUUUUUAAGUGACCUUCAGUAAUGUUGUUGCAACUGGAGGAAUUCUGAUUGAAGAUUUAAUGAGUAUGGUCCAACAGUUACCUCUUAUGUUGUUUAAGCUCAUUUCACAUGGUUUCAGUGAGAUACUUUGGUGACUUGAGCUGAAGAGGAAUUUCUAGAUUCAUGCAGCUUUUGUUCAUUUUUUUCCCCUACUUAGAUCUUAACAUUGAAAGUUUUAAUCGCAAAUUCCAUAAUCCCAUGUAAAAUCCUUCCGAAAUUGGAAUCCAGAUUCCUAAUAGGUGAAGGAAGAGUGCUGAGAACCUGUAAAUUGCCAGGCAUUCAUUUGUUUUUUUCCUUUAGCUUUUGAUAAUGGAUAGCUGUCUUAAAUUUGUUUCACAAGGAUGCAUGUCUGGUGUGUUCUCUCUCUCUCUCCCUUUUCCUUCAUGAACUCUUUCUUAUCCUCUUUAUCUUUGCUUCAUCUCUGUGAUUAAUGCAUUAACAAGCCCUUUAUCUUUUCAUUUAUAAACCCUAAAACCCUUGGUUUACCAAGUUUAGCCCAUCACAAGUAAAGUUAGCAGAUUACUUCAAAACCACACUACAUUACUGUAGCCUUGUGUUGGUGAGGCAAGGCUUUUGUUUGCCAAGUGAAAUUGUUUAAUGACUUGGAGAAUGCUAUGCACGCCCUUAUGUUCUUCAUGAGUAAGAAAACAAUAGGCUUUCUAAUUAAUGGAUAUAUUUAUUACAAUGGACCUUAUUUGUUAUUGGAAAUUGAUGCCCUCUUUUAUAUGGGUUUAGUUGUCUGUCUAUUGGACUCAACUCUUUACUUUCCUGUUUUAGCAUUUUAUAUCCUUAUGAAAUCCACUCUCCAGUUCUGUGCUCUUGUGAUAAAGGAUGAUAAGUAAAAGUUCGAUGAGAGACAUCAUAUUCCUGCAAUAUGCUUAUUGUCCACAAUGCUUGGCAGUGAGCAGAAAUUCUUGCAAAUGGUUAUAAUUUGCUAUACCUGAUGUGCAUAUGAUGUACAUUCAUGAUGGAAAAUAACUUGUGUAAAACAUGGUAUUCUGGUGUGUAAAGAUUGUUCUUGCUUUUCAUUCAGGAAGAAAUUGAGAUUGAGGCAAAG
rnacentral:misc_RNA from 1 species